rnacentral:rRNA from 1 species
GGAAGUUAAAGUCGUAACAAGGUUUCCGUAGGUGAACCUGCGGAAGGAUCAUUCAUAAUCAAGUGUUUUUAUGGCACUUUCAAAAAUCCAUAUCCACCUUGUGUGCAAUGUCAUCUCUCUGGGGGCUGCCGGCUGUCAAAAGCCGUGUGGUCACCUUUGGGAUUUAUAUCUACUCAGAACUUUAGUGAUUUUGUCUGAAACAUAUUAUGAAUACUUAAUUCAAAAUACAACUUUCAACAACGGAUCUCUUGGCUCUCGCAUCGAUGAAGAACGCAGCGAAAUGCGAUACGUAAUGUGAAUUGCAGAAUUCAGUGAAUCAUCGAAUCUUUGAACGCAUAUUGCGCUCUCUGGUAUUCCGGAGAGCAUGCUUGUUUGAGUAUCAGUAAACACCUCAACUCCCUUUUCUUUUUUGAAAUCGGAGCUGGACUUGAGUGAUCCCAACGCUUCUCUCACCGAGAAGUGGCGGGUUACUUGAAAUGCAGGUGCAGCUGGACUUUUCUCUGAGCUAUAAGCAUAUCUAUUUAGUCUGCCUAAAAAACAGAUUAUUACCUUUGCUGCAGCUAACAUAAAGGAGAUUAGUUCUUGUGCUGACUGAUGCAGGAUUCACAGAGACAGCUUCGGCUGACUUUGUAAACUCGAUCUCAAAUCAAGUAAGACUACCCGCUGAACUUAAGCAUAUCAAUAAGCGGAGGAA